GGGUUCCAAGACAGCAAAAGAAGAAGCCGUAAGGCCUCUUCCAGUUACCAUUUACCAAGAACCUAACAUCUGCGAGAUCCGGGGGCAGGGCUUCCAGAGAGUGAUCCCAUUCAGGCCUCAGGGCACCUUGAGAGAGAGCUUGUCAUCGUCAACCCUAUGUCACAGGUAACAGAUCAGGUGGAGAACAGCCCUGAGACCACAUACUGCCAGCAUCACAGGCUUGGUCCCCAUGCAGAGAGCCUGCGACAGGACUUGAAACGGGAGACCCUGGCUCCAUGCUCAGCGCCGGCACUCACUUCUCAACCCCGGGCAAAUGACUUCAUCCGUGGGCGCAUCCACGAAAGGACCCGGCACUGGAGACACCUUCCAGCUCCCGCAUCCAGCUGGGCGUGAAGCUAAAUCUCCUGCUGAACCUUUCGGUUAGAGGAGCCAGUCAGCCUCCUUUCAAGCUUAGGCUGGUUUGAACUGGGUUUUUUCCCCUCGGUAGAGUAGUCUCCAAGCAAUGUAGGAUUAAAUGAACAAACACAGUCAAGGCGCCGAGCACGGAGCCCGGGACAGAGUCUGCCAGGCUUCUUUCCCAGGACAUGUGAUCAGAUUCCUGCUGGCUUGUCCCACUAGCCUGUCAGGCGGACCCCGGUCCCAGGUCCACUGUGCCUCUCCGCAUCACCCCAGAGGGCACCCUCUGCAUCGUGGUCAAAUGGCUGCCUGCAACCAGGAUGCACCCCAGCCUGCCCAGGCCCCAACCCCAGCGUUAGACAAGCUUAGGUUCAGUCUGGGUCCCGGUGACACAAUUCUGCGCCCCACUUAAUGCUUUUUGUGGACAUUUUCCCUCGUCAUUAGUAUUCUUUGAGAGCCUGAUCUUUAAUGUCUAACCAUCCAGAAUGAAGAUUUCCCAUAGUUUUUUUUAGCCAUGCUCCUAUUGUUUGGUAUUUAGGCUAUUUCCCAUUCUCCACUUUGCAAGUUACGCUGUAAAAGCAUAUUUGCACGCAGAAUUUUGACUGCAUCCUAGGUUGUUUUCCUGGGAUGGAUUUCUAGAAGCAAAAUGACUAGGCUGUGGGCAGUUUUAUUGCUCGACUAUUGAGAUGCUCAGUUUUGAAGCAACAUCUGUCCCCUCUUUAAACGCCCCGGUCCACUGCUAACCAGUCUCCAUUGCCCAGGCCUUCACUAAGUGAGCGCUGGAGGCGCUGGAGGCGAGGUCUGCGGUGAGCAUCCCAAGUGCCUUUUCUUACUCAUCACAACGCUAUCGCAUGG
rnacentral:lncRNA from 1 species